rnacentral:rRNA from 1 species
CGGCGAGUGAAGCGCCACAGCUCAAUUGAAUCUGCUCUUCAGAGUCCGAGUUGUAUUGCAGAGGCGCUUGGCGUUGGCAGCGUCCAAGUUCUUGAACAGGACGUCACAGAGGGUGAGAAUCCGUACGUGGUCGCUAUCCUUUCGCCGUGUAAAGCCCUUCGACGAGUCGAGUUGUUUGRGAAUGCAGCUCUAAAUGRGAGRUAAAUUUCUUCUAAAGCUAAAUACUGGCCAGAGACCGAUAGCGCACAAGUAUGAUMGAAAGAURAWAAGUMCUUGGAAAGAGAGUCAAAUAGCACGUGAAAUUGUUGAAAGGGAAGCGCUUGCAGCCAGACUUGCCUGUAGUUGCUUAUCCGGACUUUUGUCCGGUGCACUCUUCUAUAGGCAGGCCAGCAUCAGUUUGGGCGGUUAGAUAAAGGUCUCUGUCAUGUACCUCUCUUCGGGGAGGCCUUAUAGGGGAGACGACAUGUAACCAGCCUGGACUGAGGUCCGCGCAUCUGCUAGGAUGCUGGCGUAAUGGCUGUAAGCGGCCCGUCUUGAAACACGGACCAAGGAGUCUAACAUCUAUGCGAGUGUUUGGGUGUCAAGCCCAGACGCGUAAUGAAAGUGAACGGAGGUAGGACCCCUUUGGGCGCACUAUCGACCGAUCCUGAUGUCUUCGGAAGGAUUUGAGUAAGAGCAUGGCUGUUGGGACCCGAAAGAUGGUGAACUAUGCUUGAAUAGGGUGAAGCCAGAGGAAACUCUGGUGGAGGCUSGCAGCGGUUCUGACGUGCAAAUCGAUCGUCAAAUUGGCAU